UACGGAGGAUCCAAGCGUUAUCCGGAUUCAUUGGGUUUAAAGGGUGCGUAGGUGGAAUUGUAAGUCAGUGGUGAAAUCUCUUCGCUUAACGAAGAAACUGCCAUUGAUACUGCAAAUCUUGAGUACAUUUGAUGAGGGCGGAAUGUGUCAUGUAGCGGUGAAAUGCUUAGAUAUGACACAGAACACCGAUUGCGAAGGCAGCUCUCAAAACUGUAACUGACACUGAGGCACGAAAGCGUGGGUAUCAAACAGG
rnacentral:rRNA from 1 species